AUUGAACGCUGGCGGCAGGCUUAACACAUGCAAGUCGAGCGGGGUGAUGGUGCUUGCACUAUCACUUAGCGGCGGACGGGUGAGUAAUGCUUAGGAAUCUGCCUAUCAGUGGGGGACAACAUCUCGAAAGGGAUGCUAAUACCGCAUACGUCCUACGGGAGAAAGCAGGGGAUCACUUGUGACCUUGCGCUAAUAGAUGAGCCUAAGUCGGAUCAGCUAGUUGGUGGGGUAAAGGCCUACCAAGGCGACGAUCUGUAGCGGGUCUGAGAGGAUGAUCCGCCACACUGGGACUGAGACACGGCCCAGACUCCUACGGGAGGCAGCAGUGGGGAAUAUUGGACAAUGGGGGGAACCCUGAUCCAGCCAUGCCGCGUGUGUGAAGAAGGCCUUAUGGUUGUAAAGCACUUUAAGCGAGGAGGAGGCUCCUUUGGUUAAUACCCAAGAUGAGUGGACGUUACUCGCAGAAUAAGCACCGGCUAACUCUGUGCCAGCAGCCGCCGCAG
rnacentral:rRNA from 1 species